UACAGGGGGGGCGAGCGUUGUUCGGAAUUACUGGGCGUAAAGGGUUUGUAGGUGGCUUGCUCAGUCAGACGUGAAAUCCCUCGGCUUAACCGGGGAACUGCGUCUGAUACUGGAUGGCUUGAGAUUGGGAGAGGGAUGCGGAAUUCCAGGUGUAGCGGUGAAAUGCGUAGAUAUCUGGAGGAACACCGGUGGCGAAGGCGACAUCCUGGACCAAUACUGACGCUGAGUGAGCGAAAGCCAGGGGAGCAAAGCGGG
rnacentral:rRNA from 1 species